CGCCCCCGUUAUCUCGCGCCCGCCCCUGCUGGGCCAAUGGGAGAGGGGAGGGGAGGGGCGGGCCGGGGCCCAGCCCAGGGAAGUAGAACUCGGUUGAAGUUCGCAGGCAAAGGACGGACUGUGCGGCGGCGAACUGUAAACGUUGGUACUGGGCUUUUGGCCGCCUUCCGCCAGCUCCAACUUGAACAGGGUACAAGUGAGCCUUAAACUCACUGAGCAUGUCAGCUCAAGUUAUAUAAUGACUGCAAUGCCUCGACAGAACUCAGAAACUGCACCAUAGAAAAGUAUUCCUGCAUCUCCUGCUGAAAGUAAAAUUCACAAGACAACACAAAUCUAAGUCUCCUGUCAGUAAAGCCUGGGACAGUGUAAUGCAAGUGGAUGGGAAUGCGGGUUCAAAAUGAAAGUUGAAGUCUUAGCUAUAAAUCUUUCCUGUUUUUAAACAGGAGAUGACGACUUUCCAAUAAAGUUUGUCAUUAUCUUAAUUCCA